UACGGAGGGGGCUAGCGUUGUUCGGAAUUACUGGGCGUAAAGCGCGCGUAGGCGGCUUUGUAAGUUAGAGGUGAAAGCCCGGAGCUCAACUCCAGAACUGCCUUUGAUACUGAAGAUCUUGAGUUCGGGAGAGGUGAGUGGAACUGCGAGUGUAGAGGUGAAAUUCGUAGAUAUUCGCAAGAACACCAGUGGCGAAGGCGGCUCACUGGCCCGAUACUGACGCUGAGGCACGAAAGCGUGGGGAGCAAACAGG
rnacentral:rRNA from 1 species